GCCAUAGCGUCCCUGCAUUGACGCUUAAAAAGUGUAAGGUUCAAUUUGUAUGCAUAAUCGGAAAUUUGGAAUGUUGAAUCAAUAGUGUUUACCAGUGGAGUGUCAACUUCAACAAAUAUAGAGCUCAGUUUGUACUCCCAGUCGAGUUCACAUAUACAAGCCGCAAGCGCUGAGCCUGCAGGAAAUGUAGUCCAUAAUUUGGUUCUUGGGCAUUUGAUCAAGGAUGGAAUGAUCAAGAAAUCAUAAUAUCAAGAUAUUAUGUUCAAACCUUGUGCCAGGGAGAGUCAAGCUUUGCAUUGGAAAGCACAUGAAUGCCUGGAGAAACCUCUUGAACUAGAAUAGGCUCUCCUUUUGGUCUGUUGGAGAGGUAGACCAUGGUUUUGGAUUGAAGAUCUGCCAAUAUCAGGUUAAAACCCAUUAUACUGGUGAGCCUCUUUUACCAACUCUUGUGCAAAUUCCUUUGUACUCUUCAAGCUCUGCCACAGUUUCAUAAUCAUACACAUAAUUAACCUUUAUCAUAAUGUUGAAAUUGCAUCCCAUAUAGAGAACUACAUGAUACACAUUAGUACGAGUCAUGAAACUUUUACCUUCAAGAAAAGCACAGGCAAGUCUCCCCGGGUUUUCGCCUCCGGUAGGGUUUGAUUCUCGAGAACGUUUGUAAGCAAAGCAACUCUUCCUCUUCUUGAACAGGCCAGCCAUGUUCCUCCUGCAACUUCAUCUCUCCCGCCUCAUAUCUCACCACCUUCCCACCAUUCCACAGGCUUCGUAGGCCUUUACAUGUUUCAAAGACAUAAUUAACAGAACAUAAGCAAUAACCCUCAGACAAAUUAAACAACAAACCAAUGAUCUCAGUCUGGUCAUUUCAUACCUGUUGUGGUAUUCAUCUCUGUUAUCCAAGAGAAGGAGAGGGUACAAUGGGUGGUCUUGCCAUAUGAACACUGCUAUACACAUAUCUCUAUAACUCAAGCCUCAAAGGAGGUACUGGUGCUGCUAUAUAAGCUUCAAGAUGAAUAGAUUAGUUACUGCAGGCACCUAUAUAUAAGCUAUCUCCAAGACUAGGAACUGGGUCUGCUCUAUAUUUUCUGGCUGGUUUUUGUAUAACUAGUGGCCAAAGCCUAAAUCCGUGAGUUUUCAUUCAUGCUAAUCUGAAUCAGUGAGAUCAUUCAGUCUAAUCAGACAGGUCCCCAGUCGGUUAUUUAACUUUGAGUCACUGAAGUUGGUCAUAGUCUUAUUGGUCCAAGGAUUUCUUAACUACUUGUUUUGGCCAUGUUGACAGAUAUAGUAGGCAAGCGGGAACAGCAGUUUAAUGAAAUCAGAGGCGCCGCUUCAUUUACUAUUUUCCUUUGGAUACAGAGCAUGUAGUGUUAUCCAAUUCCAAACAAAAGGAUCAUUAUUCAUUAGUAUUGAAAACGUGACACAUUACAAAUCUGUAAUGUCAUAUUUCAUAUUC